UUACUAUAGCUCAGCUGGUAAAGCAUGAAAUUCUUAAUCUCUGAGUCAUGGGUUCGAGCCCCACAUCGGUCAAAA